rnacentral:rRNA from 1 species
UACGGAGGGCGCAAGCGUUGUUCGGAAUCAUUGGGCGUAAAGCGCGUGUAGGCGGCUUGGUAAGUCGGAUGUGAAAUCCCGGGGCCCAACCCCGGAACUGCAUUCGAUACUGCCUCGCUAGAGUCCCGGAGAGGAGAGCGGAAUUCCCGGUGUAGAGGUGAAAUUCGUAGAUAUCGGGAGGAACACCAGCGGCGAAGGCGGCUCUCUGGACGGUGACUGACGCUGAGACGCGAAAGCGUGGGGAGCAAACAGG